GCCUACCGAUAACACUUAGAUGAAGUUUCAUAAUAUACAUUUAUGUGUUGUUCUUUAAUUAAAAUUGGAGUUUGCCUCGGUAACUAGUGUUAAUCUUUAUGGCAAAGCUUUGUUACACAAAUUUCCAAGGUUUCCUUGCCACUUCUGUUGGUUCAACUCUUUUCUUCAAUGCAAUAUCAGUCUUCAAUAUUCUUCUUUUCUGAUCACCAAGACGAGUCUCUAUCUUCAAGGUCUCCAACUCACAACAUUUUAACUGUUUUUGCUAUAAAUCAAGCAUGGUCUUGAGAAUAUUGACCUGUUCACAAAGCAAUUGUUUAUGCUGGUUUGAUGCUUCAAGCAAAGCUUCGGUCUUGACAUACUUGUCUGGGAGUUGAGCAAAUAUCAUUUUCUCCUCCUCAAAGAAUAUAUUCUCCAUAGACGGGAAAACGCCUAAGCAUGGGAGACAGAAUCAAUCAAUCUAAAUGAAGCUAAUCAAAGUGGACACAAACACAUAAAAUUCACGAAAUCAUACUCACAGCAGAAAAAUGGCUUAGGUGUGGGGAGUUUCAAACUUUGUGUUGGACAGAAGAAAAGAAGACGGCCAAGCCAACCUAUUGGACAAGAACCUGCAAUAAGAUCAAGAGAAUUCACACACAACUUCUUCGUCAGAUUCAGUUUUCAAAGUCUAUAUGCUUAAACUACUGUCAAUUUAUUUCGGUGAUCGAGAAAA